rnacentral:tRNA from 1 species
GGGCGGUUGGCGCAGUUGGUUAGCGCGUCUGCUUGACAUGCAGAAGGUCAUAGGUUCGACUCCUAUACCGCCCACCA